AUUGAACGCUGGCGGCAGGCCUAACACAUGCAAGUCGAGCGGAUGAAGGGAGCUUGCUCCUGGAUUCAGCGGCGGACGGGUGAGUAAUGCCUAGGAAUCUGCCUGGUAGUGGGGGAUAACGUCCGGAAACGGGCGCUAAUACCGCAUACGUCCUGCGGGUGAAAGUGGGGGAUCUUCGGACCUCACGCUAUCAGGUGAGCCUAGGUCGGAUUAGCUAGUUGGUGGGGUAAAGGCCUUCCAAGGCGACGAUCCGUAACUGGUCUGAGAGGAUGAUCAGUCACACUGGAGCUGAGACACGGUCCAGACUCCUACGGGAGGGAGCAGUGGGGAAUGUUGGACAGUGGGCGAGAGCCUGAUCCAACCAGGCGGCGUGUGUGAAGGAGGUCUUCGGAUUGUAAAGCACUUUAAGUUGGGAGGAAGGGCAGUAAGUUAAUACCUUGCUGUUUUGACGGUAACAAGAGAAGAAGCACCGGCUAACUUCGUG
rnacentral:rRNA from 1 species